rnacentral:rRNA from 1 species
AUUGAACGCUGGCGGCAGGCCUAACACAUGCAAGUCGAGCGGAGCGGCGGACGGGGACGGAAUGCCAAGGAAUCUGCCUGGUAGUGGGGGAUAAGGAACGCAAACGGGCGCUAAUACCACCUACUAUCAGAAGAGCCUAGGCCGGAUUAGCUAGUAGGUGGGGUAAAGGCAUACCAAGUCGACGCUCCGUAACGAGUCUGAGAUGAUGAUCAGUCAAACUGGAACUGAGACACGGUGCAGACUCCGACGGGAGGGAGCAGUGGGGAAUAUUUGACAAUGGGCGAAAGCCUGAUUCAGACAUGCCGCGAGUGUGAAGAAGGUCUUCGGAUUGUAAAGCACUUUAAGUUGGGAGGCGUUACUAGCAGAAUAAGCACCGGCGAACUUCGUGCCAGCAGCCGCGGUAAUAC